GAGGUCAAUGCAGGGCGGGACGGAGAAGGAGCAGGGAACAAGAGUACAAGACGAGCAACAGGACAAUCCAACCAACCCUUUCCAUUCCCAAUCUUCCCGUCUCCAAGUCUCCGGUCUCGAAUCCCUCCCUUCCAGAACAAGACACCUGACGCCGCCGCCCCCCCGCCGGCCGCACCCGUCCAUACCAUACCAUACCAUACCUCCGGCCGCUCGUCUCCUAUCUCGUCACCUUCGCCCGGCGCUCAGAUCUCCGCCGCGCCUCUGCCUGAUCCCCCCACCCCCAUUGGAGGGAGACACAUCCCGCGUGGGCGCACGAGGACCUGGUUUUUUUAUCAAAUGCUUGACAAAAUGCUUGCUUGGUGAUGUCUGGCUAUGAUUUGGGUCCUGUUUAUCAUGCAGUUGGCUUCUCAUGGCACUCAAACAGAAGAGACGAUGCAGUUUGUGCCCCAUUGUGAUCAUGCAGAAGUGUCAGAUUCACAGUCAACAAGUUCACAACUAAACCUGAUAGAGAGAUCAACAGAGCAUCUAGCCUCAUGUGAAAUCAACCCAGUGAGCGUUGAUGAUGACAACGACAAUGAACAUAUCGAUGCCAAUGAAGAAACUCACCUUGUUAUUCAGGACGUUCCUCAAUGCCGGAUUUGCCUUGAUAGUGAAGGUGAUGACUUGAUUGCGCCCUGCCGUUGCAAGGGAACGCAGAAGUAUGUCCAUAGGUCCUGUCUUGAUAACUGGAGAUCAACAAAGGAAGGUUUUGCAUUUUCACAUUGCACUGAAUGUCGAGCUGCAUUCUUUCUUCGUGCAAAUGUUCCUCCAGAUCGAUGGUGGUUAAGAUUGAAGUUUCAACUUCUGGUUGUUAGGGAUCACACACUAAUCUUCUUUAUUGUGCAACUGGUAGUUGCUUUCAUGGGUAUGGUGAUUUACAGAUUUUAUGGAGAUGAACUGCGCGAAAUGUUUGGUUAUGAAGAGCACCCAUAUGCUUUCUAUGCCAUGGCGAUUGUUCAAAUUGCAGUACUGGCUAUUGUUUUGGUUGGUUUGCUGUAUGGGUUCUUCAUUGCUAUAAUAUGUGGACAGAGGAUAACUGAACGGCAUUACCAUGUUCUUGCAAAGCAAGAGUUAACCAAGGAGUAUAUUGUAGAAGAUCUUGAAGGAGCUGACCAUGUGCCAGACCUUGAUCCUAGCCAUGUUAUAGAGUUGAAGAUAUUAGGACUAUAUUAAACAUAGCUGCAUAUUACAUCAGAUGAAGAGAGCUCGACGGUCACCUCCAUGGGGACGUGGAUGGAUGGCGAAGAUAAACAUUGUUGAUGAAUGGGGAACAGCAUACCGGAAACAAAUCUCAGGUUGAUGUUGCAAGAAAUACGUACGUCAUUCCACUUCACCUGGAGACAGUGCAAAAUGGGCCUUUGUGUGACUGUCGCCCAUAAAUUCUUGUGAAGCAAAACACACUUGCUCAUUCGAAGAACACCAUUUGAAGAUUCUUUGGUUCCAAUGUAGGCCUGAUAGCUCUCAAACAAGAUAAUAACAUUCAUCGCCGCACAUCUCAACGAAUGAAGAUUAUCGUGAAAGAAGCGCUAGGAUGAUGGUCUCAAUGGACAUUUUUGUAAAGUAGUAGCAUAUUAUAUUCUUUUCUCCCUUGCUUCAGAUACACAACAAACAUGCAACAGCCAAGAUGCUAAUGCCCCGUUUGUUGUACAUACCCUGUAAAACAUUACUGCCAAACUCGCAGUACUUUGUCCUUUUGAUUAUUUUCAUCGAAUCGAUGAACUAAAUAAUGUAACCUGGAGCUGGAGCCGCUCAAAAGUCUACACGCGCUUCAGAAAACGGGAUUGAUGUGA